rnacentral:rRNA from 1 species
UACGAAGGGGGCUAGCGUUGUUCGGAAUUACUGGGCGUAAAGCGUGCGCAGGCGGCUUUCCAAGUCAGUGGUGAAAGCCCGGAGCUCAACUCCGGAACUGCCAUUGAAACUGUAAGACUUGAGGAUGAGAGAGGUGAGUGGAAUUCCCAGUGUAGAGGUGAAAUUCGUAGAUAUUGGGAAGAACACCGGUGGCGAAGGCGGCUCACUGGCUCAUAUCUGACGCUCAGGCGCGACAGCGUGGGGAUCAAACAGG